UACGUAGGGGGCAAGCGUUAUCCGGAUUCAUUGGGCGUAAAGCGCGCGUAGGCGGCUUGUUAAGCGAGGUGUGAAAUCCGGGGGCUUAACCCGCGGCUUGCAUCUCGAACUGGCAGGCUUGAGUCUGGUAGAGGAAAGUGGAAUUCCCAGUGUAGCGGUGAAAUGCGCAGAUAUUGGGAGGAACACCAGUGGCGAAGGCGGCUUUCUGGGCCACGACUGACGCUGAGGCGCGAAAGCUAGGGGAGCGAACAGG
rnacentral:rRNA from 1 species